rnacentral:sRNA from 1 species
CCGGGGAAGGCUUUAGAUGAAUUUUUCCCUGGUGUUUCAUCUGGUUAUCUUUUAUAAGUUUUAGCACCUGCAAUUUUUUAUGUUCUUGCACGCGUGUAGCAAACAUCUUUUAAGUUUUUUCAUUCUUCAACUUUAAUUUCUUCAACAGUUUUCUAGUAGUUGCUUAUUUUUCAAACUUAAGUUAGUUAGUUAAGUAUUGCCUCUUUUUUUGAAGCAGCUACACUUAUCAAGUUACUCAUAUUUUUCUUUUUCAUAUUUAGACAUAGGUUGUGUUAAGGGAUUUUUAGGACUAUCCAUGUAAAUACAUCUGAUAACUUAUUUUGAUUUUGUUAGCAAUAACACCAAAAUCCACAUCUAAAGCAAACCAAAAAGUCACCUG